CCUGAAAAUCUUAGAAAUAUGGUAUCUAAGCAGAUCCUUACUCUGGAUGGCAUUACCUUGGCCUCCAGUAAUGCUGUGAGGAACCUUGGAGUCAUUUUUGACCAGGACAUGUCCUUCAAGGCACAUAUUAAACAAAUAUGUAAGACUGCUUUCUUCCAUUUGCGCAACAUCUCUAAAAUUAGAAAUAUCCUGUCUCAGAGUGAUGCUGAAAAACUAGUUCAUGCCUUCAUUACUUCCAGGCUGGACUACUGUAACUCAUUAUUAUCAGGAUGUCCUAAAAACUCGCUGAAAAGUCUUCAGUUAAUCCAAAAUGCUGCAGCAAGAGUACUGACAGGGACUAGAAAGAGAGAGCAUAUUUCUCCUGUUUUGGCUUCCCUUCAUUGGCUUCCUGUUAAAUCCAGAAUUGAAUUCAAAAUCCUGCUCCUCACAUACAAGGUCUUAAAUAAUCAGGCCCCAUCUUAUCUUAAUGACCUUGUAGUACCAUAUCACCCUAUUAGAGCACUUCGCUCUCGCUCUGCAGGCUUACUUGUUGUUCCUAGAGUAUUUAAAAGUAGAAUGGGAGGGAGAGCCUUCAGUUUUCAGGCCCCUCUUCUGUGGAACCAGCUUCCAGUUUGGAUUCAGGAGACAGACACUAUCUCUACUUUCAAGCAUGUCUUUCAUCCUGUUUUCCUUCUUUCACCCCAACCGGUCGCAGCAGAUGGCCGCCCCUCCCUGAGCCUGGUUCUGCCGGAGGUUUCUUCCUGUUAAAAGGGAGUUUUUCCUUCCCACUGUCGCCAAAGUGCUUGCUCAUAGGGGGUCAUAUGAUAUGAUUGUUGGGUUUUUCUCUGUAUUUAUUAUUGUGCUAUCUACUGUACAAUAUAAAGCGCCUUGAGGCGACUUUUGUUGUGAUUUGGCGCUAUAUAAAUAAAAUUGAAUUGAAUUGAA